rnacentral:rRNA from 1 species
AAUCAAACCGGGAGAUAGCUGGUUCUCCCCGAAAGCUAUUUAGGUAGCGCCUCGUGAAUUCAUCUCCGGGGGUAGAGCACUGUUUCGGCAAGGGGGUCAUCCCGACUUACCAACCCGAUGCAAACUGCGAAUACCGGAGAAUGUUAUCACGGGAGACACACGGCGGGUGCUAACGUCCGUCGUGAAGAGGGAAACAACCCAGACCGCCAGCUAAGGUCCCAAAGUCAUGGUUAAGUGGGAAACGAUGUGGGAAGGCCCAGACAGCCAGGAUGUUGGCUUAGAAGCAGCCAUCAUUUAAAGAAAGCGUAAUAGCUCACUGGUCGAGUCGGCCUGCGCGGAAGAUGUAACGGGGCUAAACCAUGCACCGAAGCUGCGGCAGCGACACUAUGUGUUGUUGGGUAGGGGAGCGUUCUGUAAGCCUGUGAAGGUGGCCUGUGAGGGUUGCUGGAGGUAUCAGAAGUGCGAAUGCUGACAUAAGUAACGAUAAAGCGGGUGAAAAGCCCGCUCGCCGGAAGACCAAGGGUUCCUGUCCAACGUUAAUCGGGGCAGGGUGAGUCGACCCCUAAGGCGAGGCCGAAAGGCGUAGUCGAUGGGAAACAGGUUAAUAUUCCUGUACUUGGUGUUACUGCGAAGGGGGGACGGAGAAGGCUAUGUUGGCCGGGCGACGGUUGUCCCGGUUUAAGCGUGUAGGCUGGUUUUCCAGGCAAAUCCGGAAAACCAAGGCUGAGGCGUGAUGACGAGGCACUACGGUGCUGAAGCGACAAAUGCCCUGCUUCCAGGAAAAGCCUCUAAGCAUCAGGUAACAUCAAAUCGUACCCCAAACCGACACAGGUGGUCAGGUAGAGAAUACCAAGGCGCUUGAGAGAACUCGGGUGAAGGAACUAGGCAAAAUGGUGCCGUAACUUCGGGAGAAGGCACGCUGAUAUGUAGGUGAAGCGACUUGCUCGUGGAGCUGAAAUCAGUCGAAGAUACCAGCUGGCUGCAACUGUUUAUUAAAAACACAGCACUGUGCAAACACGAAAGUGGACGUAUACGGUGUGACGCCUGCCCGGUGCCGGAAGGUUAAUUGAUGGGGUUAGCGGCAACGCGAAGCUCUUGAUCGAAGCCCCGGUAAACGGCGGCCGUAACUAUAACGGUCCUAAGGUAGCGAAAUUCCUUGUCGGGUAAGUUCCGACCUGCACGAAUGGCGUAAUGAUGGCCAGGCUGUCUCCACCCGAGACUCAGUGAAAUUGAACUCGCUGUGAAGAUGCAGUGUACCCGCGGCAAGACGGAAAGACCCCGUGAACCUUUACUAUAGCUUGACACUGAACAUUGAGCCUUGAUGUGUAGGAUAGGUGGGAGGCUUUGAAGUGUGGACGCCAGUCUGCAUGGAGCCGACCUUGAAAUACCACCCUUUAAUGUUUGAUGUUCUAACGUUGGCCCGUAAUCCGGGUUGCGGACAGUGUCUGGUGGGUAGUUUGACUGGGGCGGUCUCCUCCUAAAGAGUAACGGAGGAGCACGAAGGUUGGCUAAUCCUGGUCGGACAUCAGGAGGUUAGUGCAAUGGCAUAAGCCAGCUUGACUGCGAGCGUGACGGCGCGAGCAGGUGCGAAAGCAGGUCAUAGUGAUCCGGUGGUUCUGAAUGGAAGGGCCAUCGCUCAACGGAUAAAAGGUACUCCGGGGAUAACAGGCUGAUACCGCCCAAGAGUUCAUAUCGACGGCGGUGUUUGGCACCUCGAUGUCGGCUCAUCACAUCCUGGGGCUGAAGUAGGUCCCAAGGGUAUGGCUGUUCGCCAUUUAAAGUGGUACGCGAGCUGGGUUUAGAACGUCGUGAGACAGUUCGGUCCCUAUCUGCCGUGGGCGCUGGAGAACUGAGGGGGGCUGCUCCUAGUACGAGAGGACCGGAGUGGACGCAUCACUGGUGUUCGGGUUGUCAUGCCAAUGGCACUGCCCGGUAGCUAAAUGCGGAAGAGAUAAGUGCUGAAAGCAUCUAAGCACGAAACUUGCCCCGAGAUGAGUUCUCCCUGACUCCUUGAGAGUCCUGAAGGAACGUUGAAGACGACGACGUUGAUAGGCCGGGUGUGUAAGCGCAGCGAUGCGUUGAGCUAACCGGUACUAAUGAACCGUGAGGCUUAACCUUACAACGCCGAAG